rnacentral:lncRNA from 1 species
CUUGGUAACUCUGUGUAUCAGUUACUGCUUAAUUAGUAACAUAGAAUCACCAUAAGUAUUAGAGAAUAGGAAGUAUACCUUACCCAAUUGUGAGUGGACCUGGGGAACAAAACAUCCAAAAAGGAUCAGAGAAAAGGCAUUCGCACAGGUGAAUCAGUGUCGGGUAGGUGCAGGGUUGGAGCCUGCAGGAAGCUAGGCAUGUCCAGCCACUGGAGUGGACUGUGAAGAGGCUGGUGUAGAAGUCUAUGAAAGAUUGCUGGCUCUUUGUAGGUAUUGCUUCUGUGAGAUUUCAGUGAAGCAUCUGGUGCUAGGCCUGGAGUGGCUGUUGGACCCCAGUCAGGAGGAAGACCAGGACUUGGGUUGGAGAAAAAUGUUCCCGCUUCUAUGGGAGGACUUUACUCUCAUUUCAGAAUUACACUUGGUGCAGUGAAAUGAUCACACUAUGCGAGACACCUGGAAGCUGAAACCAACUGAGAGAACAUCAGUUUCAGGACACCCAGCUUAUACUCACUCUGCGGAGUUGUGUGAAGCCCUGAGAGUCCAUGCCUAUCCUUCCAGUCAACUCCUUUCCUCAAGAUAAGCUGAUUGGGUCUCUGUUCAUUACAGCUGAAAUUAUCGAGACAGACACUGUGUACUGCAAGGAAACAUCAGACGCCAGAAGAGAAAACAGGAGAGCUGCCACGAAAAGGAUGGCAAAUCUGGGCUGCCUUUUGCAACAUCUGUUGGGAGUCGACAAACUGCCUGGUGAUGGGCAGCCUGGAUUAUACUGAUCAGCUGCAGUGCCAGCUCCUGACCAUGGGGAGAUUGGUUUCCAGGUCUGCUGGGCUGGUGCCGAGAACAUAGAAAAUUCUUGGAGCAGGAGAAGGCAAAUAGUUUUGGAUGUGCUUGGCAAUAAAAGAGAUCUUUGUAGAAACCUUAGCUUUCUUUCCUCUUCUUAGAGAACUUUGGUUUUUUA